ACUCCUACGGGAGGCAGCAGUGGGGAAUAUUGCACAAUGGGCGCAAGCCUGAUGCAGCAACGCCGUGUGAGUGAAGAAGGUUUUCGGAUCGUAAAACUCUGUCCUAAGGGAAGAAACAAAUGACGGUACCUUAGGAGGAAGCCCCGGCUAACUACGUGCCAGCAGCCGCGGUAAUACGUAGGGGGCAAGCGUUAUCCGGAAUCACUGGGCGUAAAGGGUGCGUAGGCGGCUUAGCAAGCCAGGGGUGAAAGGCAUUGGCUCAACCAAUGUAAGCCUUUGGAACUGUUAAGCUUGAGUGCAGGAGAGGUAAGUGGAAUUCCUAGUGUAGAGGUGAAAUUCGUAGAUAUUAGGAGGAACACCAGUGGCGAAGGCGACUUACUGGACUGUAACUGACGCUGAUGCACGAAAGCGUGGGUAGCGAACAGGAUUAGAUACCCUGGUAGCAGAGAG
rnacentral:rRNA from 1 species